GGCUGGGAAAGAGUGAAGGGAUGCCUGGGGAUUGUAGUUCUUCAGAAUGCGAAAGUGGGGAGAGAAAAGAGUGGACUUCCAAAUUACAAUACAAUUUCUUUGGUUAGUUUAUAAGGACCUCUUCUUAAUAAAAAUAUAUCUGUUUUCUUAGAUUAUUGCCAGAGUGAGUAUAGAUAACCGAACCCGGGUUUUAGCUCAAGCAUUACGAAGAUCAUCUAACAGAAGAGUCUGUACCAACAGGGUUGAAGAAUUGACGUACCAUCUCUUGGAAUUUCCAGAAAGUAGAGGAGUUGCUAUUAAGGGGUUUAGUGGCACUUCAGACUCUUUGCAAACUUGAAGAGCUCACUGAGAAGCUUGUUCAUCAUCUCUUUGACUAUAUUUGUGGAGUGAGUACAGUGCACUGCAAUUUUACCCUAAUCGUUUGGCGGCAGGGAUAAAGAAAAGGUGAAAAUACGCAGAAAGCUCUUCUCCAAACCUGCUGUGUUUCUAAGCCACCAUCUCAGAGAUCUUUCUUCUUCUCUGCUCUACUUCUUCAAAUACUUCAUGAUGACGAGACUUGGAGGGGUAACACUAAUCAGUGGGAUGGAAUGCUCUAGCCAUACGCCCUAUUUACACACUAUGUUCAAUGCAUGUAAAAUCUAUGUACAGUGUACAAACAUACAUAUACACACAUACAUGACUAUUUUCACAUUAUGUUCAAUUUAUGUGCAGUAGUUACAUCCCUAACUCCAGUCUGUAGCUUAGAUUUGCACUAGGUUUUUCUGCCUUCAACUCUGGUCUGGCGGUGCCAGCAUUACAUCCAAAUGUUGGCACUGCAGUUUCCACCUUCUACAGCUAGAGUUGAGGGAGGAAGCUCCUCCAUCGCUCCGGCUGCUAUUGGCUGCCAGGGAUGUCCUUCAUUAACGAUGGAAACCCCGGUCAGAGACCACAGAGGGGAAGCUCUCUGUUUUGUUCAAAUGCA